CCCCCGCCUCCCGCCAGGCCCCUGCUCCCAGCUGGGCUGAGUUUCCUGGUGGCCCAGGCGAAGUUCCCCGCCGGCUCCUCCCUCUCCGGCCACCCCCACCUUCUCCUCUCCGGGCCGGGCUCCAGCCUCUUGCCACCUCGCCGCUCUCGGGGCGCACGACCCCACCCUGGGCCUGGCCCGCUGCUAGGGAAUGAGCCCCUCGUGGAUGGAGAUGAUCAAGGGACACAUGGCAAGUUCCUGGCACAGAGCCCGGUCAGCGUCGGCCAAGAAAAGGAGGCUGAAGAUCAGAGUGGUUAAGCAGCCUGACCCGAGUCACACAACAGAGAUAUGAUUCAAGUCCACGCCCACAGCCUCCCUGCCUUAGCAUCCUCCCCACUCUCAAGACUGAAGGCUACUCACGUGAAGAAUGGCGUUUCAUGGUGCCCUGUGGACAAAGGGGACAACAUCACAUACAAGGGCAUCCAGCCAGCCUCGCCAGCACCACCCAGGGCACCCCUCCCACGCCUCACCCCAGGGCCGGGAGGAAGGAUGAGGCUGCCGGCGGUGGCCCUGAGCUGUGCCGCUGCGGCCUCGGAGCUGCAGGCUGGAGCCCGGGCCGGGGCAGGCUUGAUGUGCACGUAGAACUUGCGGGGCUCUUCAUCGUCGAAGUCGGAGUCGCUGGAUGAGAAACGGGAGGGCUCGGCCAUGCGUGGGCUGCAGUCAAGGUCCAACCCAAUCCCAACACAAGCUUCCCCCGCCCCCAUCAGUUCUCCAACUCAGCUUCAUCUCUCCCUGCUCACACCCUUGGAGGUCAUGCACAAUCCCAUCGCUCACCACUUGCCACCUAAGUCCUGACACCCACCCCACCAUCAAGCCUUUGCACAAGCCUGCCCAGCCCUAACUGGCAAACUCCUAUUCCACUGCAAAACCCCAACACUGGUGCCCCCUCCUCCAGGAAGCCCUGCUGGCUCUCCUCUUCUCUCUCCCUCUUUCCCAACGCUGACCCCAUGGAGUGGGUGACUGCAUUUAGGUUGGCUUCAUCCACAGGGGAGAUUCUCUCCAGGAUGUAGAGAAGAUUGCUGAAAGUGGACUGAUUAUUGUCCUUGCUGUGCCAACAACUGUCCCCAGGGGCUGCCAGAAGGAUAUUGUUCUGGGUCACGUCGGGCCGGACAGUGAAACCUUCAUCAUCCACCUCUGGACAUGUCUAGGUGAGUCGGGGGGAUGGGCAGCGGUGUCAGGUUACGGGGCAUCAAACCUUCCCUCUCACCCUGCCAACCGCCCUGCCCCCAGGCUCUGACUCAGACCUCAAAACCACCCUGAUGGCAACAACUGUCUUUCCCUGGUGUGUUGGCAGGUUCCUGGGAUAAACUGAGCUUCGGCAGGGACGUUAUCCCUACCCACGUGGUCCACAGGACUUUGCAGCUGAGGUGGGAUUUGAACCCAGCCCCCAGGCUGUGCCACCUCCAGCCCGCCCCUCAAUCCCAGCUCUUUAGUUUCCAGUAAAGAUCUGAACUUUAA